AGGAUGAACGCUAGCUACAGGCUUAACACAUGCAAGUCGAGGGGCAGCAUUGGAGUAGCAAUACUCAGAUGGCGACCGGCGCACGGGUGAGUAACACGUAUCCAACCUGCCGCUUACUCGGGGAUAGCCUUUCGAAAGAAAGAUUAAUACCCGAUGGUAUAAAGAGUUCGCAUGUUCUCUUUAUUAAAGAAUUUCGGUAAGCGAUGGGGAUGCGUUCCAUUAGAUAGUUGGCGGGGUAACGGCCCACCAAGUCUACGAUGGAUAGGGGGUUCUGAGAGGAAGGUCCCCCACAUUGGAACUGAGACACGGUCCAAACUCCUACGGGAGGCAGCAGUGAGGAAUAUUGGUCAAUGGACGAGAGUCUGAACCAGCCAAAGUAGCGUGAAGGAUGACUGCCCUAUGGGUUGUAAACUUCUUUUAUAAGGGAAUAAAGUGAGGGACGUGUCCCUUCUUGUAUGUACCUUAUGAAUAAGGAUCGGCUAACCCCGUGCCAGCCGCCGC
rnacentral:rRNA from 1 species